GUCUACGGCCAUGCUACCCUGAACGUGCCUGACCUUGCCUGAUCUUGGAAGCUAAGCAGGGUAGGGCUUAGCUAGUUCUUGAAUGGGAGAACACCUUAGAAUACCAGGUACUGAGGAUG
rfam:Pteropus alecto contig109230, whole genome shotgun sequence.